rnacentral:rRNA from 1 species
UACGUAGGUGGCAAGCGUUGUCCGGAAUUAUUGGGCGUAAAGCGCGCGCAGGCGGUCCUUUAAGUCUGAUGUGAAAGCCCACGGCUCAACCGUGGAGGGUCAUUGGAAACUGGGGGACUUGAGUACAGAAGAGGAAAGCGGAAUUCCACGUGUAGCGGUGAAAUGCGUAGAGAUGUGGAGGAACACCAGUGGCGAAGGCGGCUUUCUGGACCGACAUUGACGCUGAGGAGCGAAAGCCAGGGGAGCAAACGGG